AGAAACCAUGGAAUUGUGCUGAGUUUGGCCGUAAUUCCAGUCCACGGUCCCCGCUUCCUCACAAAGCAGCAUGAGGGCUGCCCUGGCGCGGGGCGAGCCUCCAGCGCCGCCGAACACCGGGACUAAAACUCUUAACAAAGAAGCAGGGCAUGACUUUCUUACAGCGGCGGGUGCACGGGGAAUAACUCCGCCUAACGUGGCUGCAGGGCUCAAGGAGGAACACGCGUUUGUUAGCCAGAAAUGUACUGACCGUGGGAUUUCACACGUGCUUGCUGAGAGACCACUAAAACUCUUAACAAAGAAGCAGGGCAUGACUUUCUUACAGCGGCGGGUGCACGGGGAAUAACUCCGCCUAACGUGGCUGCAGGGCUCAAGGAGGAACACGCGUUUGUUAGCCAGAAAUGUACUGACCGUGGGAUUUCACACGUGCUUGCUGAGAGACCCCCGCACGACCUUCCCGUGGCGCUGCCGUCCUGCGCCGGUCCCGAGAGCCGCGUGUGUUCCGAGCACACCGGGCUGGUCCCUGCGCUCGGAACGUUCCACGGCCCCGUUAACUGCUCCUGACCCGAGCGUUCACCGCACCGCGGGGUCCGCACCUCCCCGGGCAGCUGCUCCACGGCGCUGCCACCCUCAGGGCGGAGUUCGUCGAAUUGAGGUAAAACUUUUUAGUUUAUGGCCACUGCCACUGGGCACCACUGAAGAGUAUUUUACAGGACACAGAAGAAUAUUUGCAGAAGCAUUUGAGAGAAAAAGUCAAUGUAUCUAAGGAAUCAAAAGGGCGUAAAAGAGAUUAAUAAAAUAAGGAACACCUCAACAGAGAAGGAGAUUUUAUAUGGUUUGCAAACUAGAGAUAAUAAUCUUCAGCCAAGUGUUUUAUGUGCAAUCUGCGAAAGAGACACUGAAAGGGAGCAGGUAGUCCCCAUAAGCAGAGGAAAUACCCGGUGUAAAUGUAUCAACAUUACAGAUGAAAGCAAGAAAAGUAGUAUUUGUAAAUGGAAAAAAAUAAAGAAAGUCUUUUGGCAAAGAUUAAAUGUAUGA
rnacentral:lncRNA from 12 species